rnacentral:rRNA from 1 species
CCUGCCUCGGGACGCAGCAGUGGGGAAUAUUGCACAAUGGGGGAAACCCUGAUGCAGCGACGCCGCGUGAGUGAAGAAGUAAUUCGUUAUGUAAAGCUCUAUCAGCAGGGAAGAAAAUGACGGUACCUGAGUAAGAAGCCCCGGCUAACUACGUGCCAGCAGCCGCGGUAAUACGUAGGGGGCAAGCGUUAUCCGGAUUUACUGGGUGUAAAGGGAGCGUAGACGGCAGUGCAAGUCUGGAGUGAAAGGCGGGGGC